UUCAAUUGUCAGGUGUUUAAAUUAUUCGAGUAUCACAAGUUUUCUGUUAACGUUUUUGAACUGUGAUUGUGAUGGAAAACUCUGACUUUGAAAAAAGUGAUGAAGGUGAAUAUCUUCAAGUGAAACCAACGAAAAGUGUUUUUGGAAAUUAAAAAAAAAAAGACCUCUCGGGAUAGGUGAUGGAUUAAGUAAAACCACAAGAAAACGUCGUACAUUAGCAUUUAAAAAAGAGGCUGAAUAGUUAUGUGAGAAGUUCAAGCUAGAAAUACUCCUUGGAAUACAUUUCCCUACAGAUGUUAGAAAAAGCUGGUAUUUUGAAGGUUUUGGUGUGCGAAUGAAGCAAUUUGCUGAUGAGACUGCCAUUGGAAAGAAGAUCAAGACUGACUUACAACUGUUAUCAAACAGUUGGUUUGUAGAUGACAAGAUUAACUUGCAAGAAGGGGUUACUGCAUUCAGUGUCAUUACUGGACCGUUUGUCAGCGCUGUAGGAGAGGAAGCGGUAAUUCUUGC